UAAACUGAGAGUUUGAUCCUGGCUCAGGAUGAACGCUAGCGGUGUGCCUAACACAUGCAAGUCGAACGAACCUUCAAAAUUGAGACUUCGGUUGAUUUUUUGAAUCAGUUAGUGGCAGACGGGUGAGUAAUGCAUAAGUAACCUGCCCUUAAGUCUGGGAUAACUUUUCGAAAGGAAAGCUAAUACUAGAUACGCUCUUUUUUUCGUAUGUAAGAAAGAGGAAAGUUUUUUCGCUUAAGGAUGGGCUUAUGUCUGAUUAGCUUGUUGGUAGGGUAAUGGCCUACCAAGGCUACGAUCAGUAGUUGGUCUGAGAGGAUGAUCAACCACAUUGGGACUGAGAUACGGCCCAAACUCCUACGGGAGGCAGCAGUGAGGAAUAUUGCGCAAUGGGCGAAAGCCUGACGCAGCGACACCGCGUGAGCGAUGAAGCCUUUCGGGGUGUAAAGCUCUGUCAAGAGGGAUGAUUAUGACAGUACCUCUAAAGGAAGUCACGGCUAAUUACGUGCCAGCAGCCGCGGUAAUACGUAAGUGGCAAGCGUUAUCCGGAUUUAUUGGGCAUAAAGGGCGAGCAGGUGGAUCAUUAAGUCAGAUGUUAAAGCCCACAGCCUAACUGUGGUAAGCAUUUGAAACUGAUAAUCUAGAGAAUUGUAGAGGAAAGCGGAACUCAUAGUGUAGCGGUGAAAUGCGUAGAUAUUAUGAGGAACACCAGUGGCGAAGGCGGCUUUCUGGACAAAUUCUGACACUGAAUCGCGAAAGCGUGGGGAGCGAACGGGAUUAGAUACCCCGGUAGUCCACGCCGUAAACGUUGUUCACUAAGUGUAGGAGGUAUCGACCCCUUCUGUGCUACAGAUAAUUCGUUAAGUGAACCGCCUGGGGAGUACGACCGCAAGGUUAAAACUCAAAGGAAUUGACGGGGGCCCGCACAAGCAGUGGAGCAUGUGGUUUAAUUCGAUGAUACGCGAAGGACCUUACCAGGGUUUGACAUCCGCAGAAUCCCCUAGAGAUAGGGGAGUGCCUUCGGGAAUUGCGUGACAGGUGGUGCAUGGCUGUCGUCAGCUCGUGUCGUGAGAUGUUGGGUUAAGUCCCGCAACGAGCGCAACCCCCGUCCUGUGUUGCCAGCACGUUAUGGUGGGAACUCACAGGAUACUGCCUGUAAAAAGCAGGAGGAAGGUGGGGAUGACGUCAAGUCAUCAUGCCCCUUACACCCUGGGCCACACACAUGCUACAAUGGCCGGUACAAUGGGUUGCCAAACCGCGAGGUGGAGCUAAUCUCAAAAAACCGGCCUCAGUUCGGAUUGCAGUCUGCAACUCGACUGCAUGAAGUCGGAAUUGCUAGUAAACGCAAAUCAGCUAUGUUGCGUUGAAUACGUUCCCGGGCCUUGUACACACCGCCCGUCACACCAUGAGAGUCAGAAACACCCGAAGCCGGUGUGCUAACCGCAAGGAGGCAGCCGUCGAAGGUGGGUUUGGCGAUUGGGGUGAAGUCGUAACAAGGUAGCCGUACCGGAAGGUGUGGCUGGAUCACCUCCUUUCUAAGGAG
rnacentral:rRNA from 1 species